GACCGAUAGUGAACCAGUACCGUGAGGGAAAGGCGAAAAGAACCCCGGCGAGGGGAGUGAAAAAGAACCUGAAACCGUGUACGUACAAGCAGUGGGAGCCUCUUUAUGGGGUGACUGCGUACCUUUUGUAUAAUGGGUCAGCGACUUAUAUUCUGUAGCAAGGUUAACCGAAUAGGGGAGCCGAAGGGAAACCGAGUCUUAACUGGGCGUUAAGUUGCAGGGUAUAGACCCGAAACCCGGUGAUCUAGCCAUGGGCAGGUUGAAGGUUGGGUAACACUAACUGGAGGACCGAACCGACUAAUGUUGAAAAAUUAGCGGAUGACUUGUGGCUGGGGGUGAAAGGCCAAUCAAACCGGGAGAUAGCUGGUUCUCCCCGAAAGCUAUUUAGGUAGCGCCUCGUGAAUUCAUCUCCGGGGGUAGAGCACUGUUUCGGCAAGGGGGUCAUCCCGACUUACCAACCCGAUGCAAACUGCGAAUACCGGAGAAUGUUAUCACGGGAGACACACGGCGGGUGCUAACGUCCGUCGUGAAGAGGGAAACAACCCAGACCGCCAGCUAAGGUCCCAAAGUCAUGGUUAAGUGGGAAACGAUGUGGGAAGGCCCAGACAGCCAGGAUGUUGGCUUAGAAGCAGCCAUCAUUUAAAGAAAGCGUAAUAGCUCACUGGUCGAGUCGGCCUGCGCGGAAGAUGUAACGGGGCUAAACCAUGCACCGAAGCUGCGGCAGCGACGCUUAUGCGUUGUUGGGUAGGGGAGCGUUCUGUAAGCCUGCGAAGGUGUGCUGUGAGGUAUGCUGGAGGUAUCAGAAGUGCGAAUGCUGACAUAAGUAACGAUAAAGCGGGUGAAAAGCCCGCUCGCCGGAAGACCAAGGGUUCCUGUCCAACGUUAAUCGGGGCAGGGUGAGUCGACCCCUAAGGCGAGGCCGAAAGGCGUAGUCGAUGGGAAACAGGUUAAUAUUCCUGUACUUGGUGUUACUGCGAAGGGGGGACGGAGAAGGCUAUGUUGGCCGGGCGACGGUUGUCCCGGUUUAAGCGUGUAGGCUGAUUUUCCAGGCAAAUCCGGAAAAUCAAGGCUGAGGCGUGAUGACGAGGCACUACGGUGCUGAAGCAACAAAUGCCCUGCUUCCAGGAAAAGCCUCUAAGCAUCAGGUAACAUCAAAUCGUACCCCAAACCGACACAGGUGGUCAGGUAGAGAAUACCAAGGCGCUUGAGAGAACUCGGGUGAAGGAACUAGGCAAAAUGGUGCCGUAACUUCGGGAGAAGGCACGCUGAUAUGUAGGUGAAGCGACUUGCUCGUGGAGCUGAAAUCAGUCGAAGAUACCAGCUGGCUGCAACUGUUUAUUAAAAACACAGCACUGUGCAAACACGAAAGUGGACGUAUACGGUGUGACGCCUGCCCGGUGCCGGAAGGUUAAUUGAUGGGGUUAGCGGUAACGCGAAGCUCUUGAUCGAAGCCCCGGUAAACGGCGGCCGUAACUAUAACGGUCCUAAGGUAGCGAAAUUCCUUGUCGGGUAAGUUCCGACCUGCACGAAUGGCGUAAUGAUGGCCAGGCUGUCUCCACCCGAGACUCAGUGAAAUUGAACUCGCUGUGAAGAUGCAGUGUACCCGCGGCAAGACGGAAAGACCCCGUGAACCUUUACUAUAGCUUGACACUGAACAUUGAGCCUUGAUGUGUAGGAUAGGUGGGAGGCUUUGAAGUGUGGACGCCAGUCUGCAUGGAGCCGGCCUUGAAAUACCACCCUUUAAUGUUUGAUGUUCUAACGUUGGCCCCUGAUCGGGGUUGCGGACAGUGUCUGGUGGGUAGUUUGACUGGGGCGGUCUCCUCCUAAAGAGUAACGGAGGAGCACGAAGGUUGGCUAAUCCUGGUCGGACAUCAGGAGGUUAGUGCAAUGGCAUAAGCCAGCUUGACUGCGAGCGUGACGGCGCGAGCAGGUGCGAAAGCAGGUCAUAGUGAUCCGGUGGUUCUGAA
rnacentral:rRNA from 1 species